rnacentral:SRP_RNA from 1 species
GGUCGGGCCCCGUGCAAUCGAAACCCGUCAACCCCGUCAGGUCCGGAAGGAAGCAGCGGCACAUGGGACCUUCGGUGUGCCGCGGGAUCACCUGACCCCU